CUUCCUCCGCCCCAAGCAGCCGGGGCGGUGCACCACCGGCCCCCGCUUCCUUCUCGGGGUUGGGAGGCACCGAGGGCCUCGAGGGGCUGCGGGACUCGGGCUUGGUGUGGAGGGCAAGAGCGCUGCGACGUGCGGACUGGAGAGUCAGCCUUUGGGCUGGAGACACGGGAGCGGGUGGCUACAGUGGUUUACGUUGUUGCACGGGGCGAGUAGAACGUAUCCUUCUUUGCGUCCAAAAUCUGGUUCCUUGUUGGAUUUGAACAGAUUAUGUGGCUCGUCGGGGCGAACCGAGGGUUUUUAUUUACUUGGAAAGAAUCAUCACAGCCCGCGAAUUCACAAACUGGCACGCAAUUU
rnacentral:lncRNA from 1 species